GGUGAGGAAUAGACAGGUAACGUACCCCGAACUCCAGGAUAGUGUCCCGAAAGGGGCGGUAAUACUGGAUGAUGUGCCUUGUGUAAUGCAGGGUAUCAAAGAUUUAUCGGUUUGGGAGCGGCCUGUUUCCUAUCAGCUAGUUGGUGAGGUAAUGGCUCACCAAGGCGACGACGGGUAGCGGGACUGAGAGGUUGGCCCGCCACAUCGGGACUGAGACACUGCCCGGACCUCCACGGAGGGCUGCAGUAACGAAUAUUGGGCAAUGCGCGAAAGCGUGACCCAGCAAUGCCGCGUGCAGGAUGAAGCUCCUCGGAGUGUAAACUGCUUUCAGGGAUUAGAAAGUUUCGAUUGAUCAAUCCCAGAAGAAGUCACGGCUAACUUCGUGCCAGCAGCCGCGGUAAUACGAAGGUGGCAAGCGUUAUUCGAAAUCACUGGGCUUAAAGGGCGCGUAGGCGGGAAUGAAAGUGUCUUGUGAAAUCCCUCGGCUUAACCGAGGAAUU
rnacentral:rRNA from 1 species